UUCCUUCUGUCUAUUUGUAAGAUCCCACCGACAUCCACUGUAGAAGAAGCUUCAAUCAAUCUGGCUUUAGUCAUAUAAAUCUUCUGCAUAUGGCGGGCUUUGAAUACAUCUUUUGUCCAUCGAUUUUCACGUGGAAAUCAGUCCAUGGUCUUCUUUUGCUGCGAUAAACUGAUGAUAUCCGCGUCAUUUCGAUGUGAGCUUGGGUCUUGUGAUUUGACAACCCAGCGGACACGAGAUUUAUGAAUGGAAAGUCCGGUUCGUAAUGAUUCGUCAAUGUUCGGUUGCUUCUACACUUACUACCUUUAUGAGUUUGCCUCCGGAUUUAAACACCUUUUAUAUGACUGUUGAUUUUGAUUGCCAAUGC
rnacentral:lncRNA from 1 species